GUUUCACGGACCGGCCUUUAAGGU
rnacentral:miRNA from 1 species